rnacentral:lncRNA from 1 species
CUCCUCUUUCCUUCCUCCUGUUGAGAAGUGACCCUGCUGUUAACUCCUUUCUUCAGCAGCUUUCUUCUCCUUUCUUCCUGCAGCUUCUAAUAUACCAGCAAGGGAGAGGAACUCUUUGCUACAAGCCCUUCAGCAGAGCACUCUCUGGUCCACAGGGGACACAGUUACAUGGUGCAGUGUGGGGCCCAGUUUAACUUCACCUCAUCUUUCCAGCAGUCCCACAACUCUUCAGAAAUGUGGGUGGAGAUCCGUUACACAUUCUUACUAUGGUUACGCGCCAUGAAAAACAGUAAGAACAGCCAACACAGCCUCCAGGUGGUGGAUCAACAUUAAUCAUAAUAGACCCAGGGGCAGAGGAUUGGCAAGAUACCAUGAGAAAUCGUUGUACGUCCAUCCCCUUGAACUCCACUGACCUCCCAUGGGGGACAGGGAUAUGGGGCAAAAGAAUGUGUGGGGUCACGUUCAGCUCAUGCAUCCAGAGGAGCAAACAGGCUGCGUUUCCUCGGAGGCAGGUAAAAGGCACCGGCUCUGUGCAGUGUAUUGGCCUGGCAUGGGCCUGGCCCUACUUUCUGCUCUGCGAUCUGCCAAAUGCAACAGGGCUACAA